rnacentral:rRNA from 1 species
ACACGACUACGAGUUUGUCCUGGCUCAGGAUGAACGCUAGCGGCAGGCCUAAUACAUAGCAAGUCGAACGGAUAUAUGUUUUCGGAAUAUAUAUUAGUGGCGCACGGGUGAGUAACACGUACAUAACUUGCCCUCAAGCGGGGGAUAGCCUUGGGAAACUGAGAGUAAUACCCCAUAGAAUUAUUGGACGGCAUCGUUUGAUAAUUAAAACUACGGUGCUUGGGGAUAGAUGUGCGUCUGAUUAGCUAGUUGGUGAGGUAACUGCUCACCAAGGCGACGAUCAGUAGGGGGCGUGAGAGCGUGGCCCCCCACACGGGUACUGAGACACGGACCCGACUCCUACGGGAGGCAGCAGUAAGGAAUAUUGGUCAAUGGAGGGAACUCUGAACCAGCCAUGCCGCGUGAAGGAUGACGGCCCUCUGGGUUGUAAACUUCUUUUGGAUGGGGCGAAAAACGGGAUUUAUCCUGGACUGACGGUACCAUCAGAAUAAGCACCGGCUAACUCCGUG